rnacentral:lncRNA from 1 species
AUGUGUUUUGUUGGUACUCAUUUUUGUUUGCUACAGGACGUUCCUGGAGAACAACGUGAAGAGUGCUCUCGCUGGAGGGAAGGUGCUGACCAAUGGAGACUGAGACAGUCCUUCCUGGUCAUGAGACAUCAUGGAGUCUGCCUAGCAAACUACGCCAACACUACUAAUACUGCCACUACUGACCCCUGAACCAUGACCCCUAGCCCCCAGAGACUGAAACCUCACCCCCUAACCCAAAAAGACUGACUCACUGUCCGUGUCCCAAAUUGCACUCUAUUCCCCAAGUAGUGCACUGCUUUUUACCAAGCCCAUAUAGGGCGAGUGGUGUAGUGUAUGAGGACUAGGGUGUGAUUUGAGCCCAUAUAGAGAGAAGAGCGAUGGAGAGGGGGUCCACCGGCUGUGCCUAGAGACCAACCACUGUACUGUAAUACCCUCCUACACUUGGUACCUCUACACCUGCAACGCAGUGGUCAUGAUAUGGUCAUUCCGCUGACGCGCUUGUCCAAAGCCAAUCACAGUUCACACACCUUCACACACAAGCCAUAAUUGCAUUUAACACACCCUACUCACUCACCCAUCCACUCCCUCCUCACCCCGACCCCAGUCGCGGCCUUCCGACCUUUGAACCCAAGCUGACCUGUGGAACUCGUCCCAACCCUGCCUCGGCACAUCCUCGCUUGCCUUCGUCUCCUAGAGAGACACGGUCAGAGACUGGGAGAUAUCAGGAGGAGGAAUGGACUUGUUUUUAUUCAUAUUUUAAUUGUGAUUUAAUUUGACCUGUGAUUUUAGUAUUUUUGUUUUGAUUCGACCUAAAAUCUAGAUGGGGGGGACUGUACAAGAAAACAACAGGAAUGUUUAAAAAGUGACCUGUUUGACAUGGUAGUUUGUUGCUAAUGCUGACAAGACAUUGUUUGGGGCGAGAGAGAGCAACACUGAGUGUCUGUGGAUUCGGAACAGUUAAUUUUGAACCAGACCUAAUCCUAGAACAUCAGCCUGGUAGCCAUGUCCACAAAGCCUCUGAGUAGGAGUGAUGAUCUAGGAUCGGUUUAGGUUUAUAAGAGUAUAAUAAGAUUAUAUGGCCGGAUCCUAGAUCAGCAUUCCUUGUGUAUACGGGCCCUGUUCCUGCUUUAGCCAACCUCAGAAACUGAUCUGACUACUAGACUAGUCGUGCAAGACCACUGUGCCGUAAAUGUCUCCCCCAAGCGUUUUUUUUUUUGCUAACUGGCCUCCCCCACCGUCCGCUCGUUAAGGUGUUAUAACCUGUCGUAGGUACUUGUCCACUACCGUGUAGCACACAAUGUCUAGGGGAACAACUUUCUAUGGGGGUUUUACAUUUUUGUCCAACGUCUUUUGUUUUGAACAUCGCAUUGAAUAAUGUAAUUUAGGAAUGUAAUUUUAAGAUAUUGUAGUCAAAUGUUUAAUAUAUAUAUGUAUUAUAUGAUGAUUCUAGGCCUGCAGUUGGACCUGUUUUGUUAAUUGGGGUUGGCUGCUAUAGUCGGAUCUUACAAGGAAAUAUUUUGGUACUGUUUCUCCGAAAUGCUGGGUAUUUUAGCAUUUUUUUAUGGUCUCUAGAAUAUAUUUUUGUAGUGAAUGGUUGAGUAUGAGAACCCUAAGUUUUGGAUUGCUAACUUUCACACUACAUAAUGUCCUGCUGGAAAAUGAAUACAAGUUUCUUUUUUUUUCACAAGAGUUCGUCUGUUCCUUUUUAUGAAGUUGGACUUUAUUGACUGCUUGAUUGAAUAUUAGGAUUGCUGAUUCAAGCCUUGCUCUGACUCUCCCCUCAAUCGGCACAUUCACAACCAGGUAUGAUUAUCUGAUGGCCAUGGCCUGCAGGUAUACCCUGAGCCUGGUGAGUUUGGUGCUGGCCGGUGAAGUGGAUAAAGCAGGGAUCGGUUGUCAUACAAGCACAGCCAAGAGUUUUAAUGAUCAACUAUUGAGCAGCACUAAUUGGCUGGUCCACCAUCGCUUUGCUGAAACUGAACAUCUAUAAGGCUGCACUCAAAGAUCCGACUGUUCACUCUCUAAUGGUGGUGAAAGGGAGAAUGUUUAUUGUUGGCUCAAACAUGACAGAAAGCACCUUGCCCCUAUGAACUAUAACGCCCUGCCAGAAUGUGCUGUUUAGAGCAUAUUUGUUUACCCAUGUAGCCAAUCAAAUGUCCUUUCAUAUUGUUUUAACCGUUUCCUGGUCCAUAAGUAAAACAUUUUCACUUGCAUGUUUUGUAGAUGAAAUCUAAAUGCUCUUCAACUGAAAAACAAGUGAAAUGAAUUUAGUGUGAAGAGGGGGAGGAAAAUGAAGCAAGAAAUAGAGCUUAGCCUGUGCAUUCCAGAGCACAGAUUAUAUCUCUUUCCAAGAGAAGGCACUGCUCUUUCAUUCUAUCCUUCUCUCCCUUGUCUCAUCACCACACACCUGCUCUCACCGUUCCACUCCCUCAUUCACCAGUGACACGUGAAUACCUAUUUAGAUCCAUCUACAGCUAGUGUUACUUCAAGCUGAGAUCAAACAUAACCACGUAGGGUGUUUUAGUUUUUAGUUUUUUUUGCAAUGUUCUAAAUUAUUAAAUUAACAUCAACCGAAUAACAAAAACCUGAAAUUAUUUUUGUCUUUGGUAGUUAAUCGUAGCAAGUCUUAUGUUGUGUGGUAAUACACUUCACUACACAGUACAGGAGCUAUGAUGGCACUUGUGAUCCUGGAGCUAAUGGGUUCAGUAGCUAAACUUUCUCUCACCUAUGGCCUGUGGUGAUCAGGGUGUAAAACGUCAAGCUCUGUCCUAAUGUUGACUGACUCUUUGACAAGCUCGUUACAUGACCUGGUGCACUUGUCUAAGUUAUCUAAACAUUUUAUGUAGUAAAGCCAUUUUUUGUGGGUUAACUCAUUCAGAUUGGCUGGGCCUGGCUCCCCACUCAGUUUGACAACCAGCGUCCCUGACCCAGCAAGGGUCUGAAAUGCAAGAUGGCUGACAAAUCCGUGACAAUAGAAACCCAGUAAAGCAGAGAGAAAGGGAAACGGAAAGCCAGUGGAGCAGAGGAAGGAGCCCUGAUUCUGAAAGGUGACGAUGACAAAGACCGAUGCUUCUUCCCCUGUGGAGACGCAGGGGGAUGAGGCUACCUCAGCUUCAUCCAAAGGCCCAUCACGGAUGAUGAUGCUGAAAGCAACAAAAAAAAAGACCUCAAAGCCCAUCUGGCAAAGGAGAACAGGAACAAGCGAAAGGUAAGAUGGAGAAGGAAACAUUGUCCUGAACAGGAAAAACAUUGGCC